AUUGAACGCUGGCGGCAGGCCUAACACAUGCAAGUCGAACGGUAACAGGAAGCAGCUUGCUGCUUCGCUGACGAGUGGCGGACGGGUGAGUAAUGUCUGGGAAACUGCCUGAUGGAGGGGGAUAACUACUGGAAACGGUAGCUAAUACCGCAUAACGUCGCAAGACCAAAGAGGGGGACCUUAGGGCCUCUUGCCAUCGGAUGUGCCCAGAUGGGAUUAGCUAGUAGGUGGGGUAACGGCUCACCUAGGCGACGAUCCCUAGCUGGUCUGAGAGGAUGUCCAGCCACACUGGAACUGAGACACGGUCCAGACUCCUACGGGAGGCAGCAGUGGGGAAUAUUGCACAAUGGGCGCAAGCCUGAUGCAGCCAUGCCGCGUGUAUGAAGAAGGCCUUCGGGUUGUAAAGUACUUUCAGCGGGGAGGAAGGGAGUAAAGUUAAUACCUUUGCUCAUUGACGUUACCCGCAGAAGAAGCACCGGCUAACUCCGUG
rnacentral:rRNA from 1 species